rnacentral:rRNA from 1 species
UACGAAGGGGGCUAGCGUUGCUCGGAAUCACUGGGCGUAAAGCGCACGUAGGCGGAUCUUUAAGUCAGGGGUGAAAUCCCAAGGCUCAACCUUGGAACUGCCUUUGAUACUGGGGAUCUCGAGUCCGGAAGAGGUUGGUGGAACUGCGAGCGUAGAGGUGAAAUUCGUAGAUAUUCGCAAGAACACCAGUGGCGAAGGCGGCCAACUGGGCCGGUACUGACGCUGAGGUGCGAAAGCGUGGGGAGCAAACAGG